UGCUAUAGAGAAUAGUUAGUGGCAGACGGGUGAGUAAUGCAUAGGAAUCUACCUAGUAGUAUGGGAUAGCCACUAGAAAUGGUGGGUAAUACUGUAUAAUCCUGCGGGGGAAAGAUUUAUCGCUAUUAGAUGAGCCUAUGUUAGAUUAGCUAGUUGGUAGGGUAAAGGCCUACCAAGGCGAUGAUCUAUAGCUGGUCUGAGAGGAUGAUCAGCCACACUGGAACUGAGAUACGGUCCAGACUCCUACGGGAGGCAGCAGUGGGGAAUAUUGGACAAUGGGCGCAAGCCUGAUCCAGCUAUGCCGCGUGAGUGAGGAAGGCCUUAGGGUUGUAAAACUCUUUCAGUAGGGAAGAUAAUGACGGUACCUACAGAAGAAGUCCCGGCAAAUCCGUGCCAGCAGCCGCGGUAAUACGGAGGGGGCAAGCGUUGUUCGGAAUUAUUGGGCGUAAAGGGCAUGUAGGCC
rnacentral:rRNA from 1 species